rnacentral:lncRNA from 1 species
AUCGGUCAAAUCCUAAAGAGUUUUGAGGAUGAAGGAACAAAAAGAAACAACAAAAAAAGGGGGGGUACUCAGUAAAAAGAAUUGCAGAUGAACAGGAGUACAGCAAAAGUACAAAAAGGAUAUGGUAGGCUAACCUCAGGAACGACGAAGUUGAUGUCCAUUUCUUCCCAAGGGAGAAGAGAGAUCGAAGACUUGGAAGAUUGAUGGAGAAGGCCCUUGCUGGAGUUCUUGGGGUUCUCAGGCAAUGCCGCCGCCACGAAGGUGGAUUUGAGGCUGUAGAAUGACGAGAUGGAGAAAGAGUACCAGAGAAGGAAGUAUUUAUAGGACAAAAUGGGCAGGGGCAAAUCUGACUUAUCUCUUUGCCGCAUCCAUGAAAUCCGAGGGUGUUUAGGUAGAUAUGGUAGCUGUUCGCACGAUAAUCGAGGGAUUGCGCAGGUGAUUUGACAGCAAGCGGUCACGAUUUUGAAGAUAUCUUACUGUGUAAGAUCACCUAGUCGGUCCAUCGGUAGUUUUCUCUAACGGUAAUAUUGCCGAUGAGCACAUUCUGGGGAGAUUCGGUUCGAGAAGUUGAGGAAUUCAAGAGGUUGUUUAGAUUUGAUAAUUAAUUAUCAAUCCAGGGAAGUAAUUGCGGAAAGGUAUCAUUACUGAGGAGAAUUUCGGAGCAUUAAUGAUUUUAUACUCCGAAAUUGGGGGGCAUGUGUUGACACCGUUUUUGGACACGUAUCUUUGGGCACGCGUCUUGAGUUAAUAAGAUGUAGAUCGGCAGGUGGAAGAGUAGUGACUAGUCUACAGGAGAGUUGCCGAUGAGGGUUGAUGCUGAUGGAAAAGCAGCCAAAUACAACUAAAUCCAAGGGUGGUGAUGCGUUCAUACCGAUGGCCAAUGCUGGUGGUUGCCGAUAGCUAUGAAGGGCAGUUUGCCGAUAACUCUGAAGAAAGCGCAGGGGUUGCCGAUUGACUCAGGAUGGGAUGCCGAUUGAUCAUGGAGGAUAGUUUAGCGUUUUCCUUAGUUAUUAGAAUUCGUUUUGUAUACGGGUUCCGUUUAAUUUGGAAUUCGAGUCCUAGUCGUGUCUGUUUGUAGCUCUUUGGACAGGGUAUAAAUGUAGACCCUAGGGCAAUGUACUGAAUCAUCUAUCAAUCAAUUAAACACAAGUUUUUACUCAUAUUCCAGCAUCUACUUUUUUCGACCACUUUGUCAUAUUUUCUUUUUACUACGAGUUCUUAAGAAUUCGUCGAGUCAAUCUCAGCGUGUUCUCAAGUUCCGCGUGAACACCUCUUGGCCGUGACAUCCGGACGCAUCGCUGUUGUCGGAACCAAAGUGUUUGAGUUACCACCUUCGUCGAUUGUAAGGUCAAAUCGGCUGGCACGCCUUAACGUUGAAUUGGGUAUUAGCCCUUUGUGUUUGCAGAUCAGAUUUUGCACCAACAAAAGUCUUAAGCCAAUUAAUAUACUAGAAUAAUAUAUUAAAAAAUAGUACUAAAAAAUAAUACUAGAAUAAAAGUAAAAAACAAUAAUAUAUACAAAACACUACAAUUCAUAAUAUACUAGAAUAAUAUACUAAAAAGUCUUUUAAGUCAAAUAAUAUACUAGAAUAAUAUAUUAAAAAAAUAAUACUAAAAAAUAAUACUAAAAUAAUAGUACAAACAAUAAUAUAUACAAAACAUUAGAAAUUAAUAUAUAUAUAUAUAUUGCAGAC